CCUACGUGUGGCAGCAGUGGGGGAUAUUGCACAAUGGGGGAAACCCUGAUGCAGCAACGCCGCGUGAGUGAAGAAGGUCUUCGGAUUGUAAAGCUCUGUUCUUGGUGAAGAUAAUGACGGUAGCCAAGGAGAAAGCUCCGGCUAACUACGUGCCAGCAGCCGCGGUAAUACGUAGGGAGCGAGCGUUGUCCGGAUUUACUGGGUGUAAAGGGUGCGCAGGCGGCUCUGCAAGUCAGGCGUGAAAGCUAGGGGCUCAACCCCUAAACUGCGCUUGAAACUGUGGAGCUUGAGUGAAGUAGAGGCAGGCGGAAUUCCCGGUGUAGCGGUGAAAUGCGUAGAGAUCGGGAGGAACACCAGUGGCGAAGGCAGCUUACCAAACUAUAUCUGACGUUGAGGCACGAAAGCGUGGGUAGCAAACAGGAUUAGAUACCCCUGUAGUC
rnacentral:rRNA from 1 species